AUUGAACGCUGGCGGCAGGCCUAACACAUGCAAGUCGAGCGAGCGGCGGACGGGUGAGUAAUGUAUGGGGAUCUGCCCGAUGGAGGGGGAUAACUACUGGAAACGGUAGAUAAUACCGCAUACCAUCGGAUGAACCCAUAUGGGAUUAGCUAGUAGGUGGGGUAACGGCUCACCUAGGCGACGAUCCCUAGCUGGUCGGAGAGGGUGAUCGGCCACACUGGAACUGAUACACGGCCCAGACUCCGACGGGAGGCAGCAGUAGGGAAUCUUCCGCAAUGGGCGAAAGCCUGACGGAGCCACGCCGCGUGUAUGAGGAAGGCCUUCGGUUUGUAAAGUACUGUCAGUCGGGAAGCGGUACCGAAUGAGGAAGCACCGGCUAACUCCGUGCCAGCAGCCGCGGUAAUAC
rnacentral:rRNA from 1 species